AGACGUCGAUGUCUACUUGGAGGUUGUGGCCUUGAGCCGUGGCUUUCGGAGCUAACGCGUUAAGUAGACCGCCUGGGGAGUACGGUCGCAAGAUUAAAACUCAAAUGAAUUGACGGGGGCCCGCACAAGCGGUGGAGCAUGUGGUUUAAUUCGAUGCAACGCGAAGAACCUUACCUACUCUUGACAUCCAGAGAACUUUCCAGAGAUGGAUUGGUGCCUUCGGGAACUCUGAGACAGGUGCUGCAUGGCUGUCGUCAGCUCGUGUUGUGAAAUGUUGGGUUAAGUCCCGCAACGAGCGCAACCCUUAUCCUUGUUUGCCAGCGAGUAAUGUCGGGAACUCCAGGGAGACUGCCGGUGAUAAACCGGAGGAAGGUGGGGACGACGUCAAGUCAUCAUGGCCCUUACGAGUAGGGCUACACACGUGCUACAAUGGCGCAUACAGAGGGCGGCCAACUUGCGAAAGUGAGCGAAUCCCAAAAAGUGCGUCGUAGUCCGGAUUGGAGUCUGCAACUCGACUCCAUGAAGUCGGAAUCGCUAGUAAUCGUGGAUCAGAAUGCCACGGUGAAUACGUUCCCGGGCCUUGUACACACCGCCCGUCACACCAUGGGAGUGGGCUGCAAAAGAAGUAGGUAGUUUAACCUUCGGGGGGACGCUUACCACUUUGUGGUUCAUGACUGGGGUGAAUCUAAAAGGGGGGGCCCCAAAAGGGCGAAAAA
rnacentral:rRNA from 1 species